AGGACGAACGCUGGCGGCGUGCUUAACACAUGCAAGUCGAGCGGUAAGGCCUUUCGGGGUACACGAGCGGCGAACGGGUGAGUAACACGUGGGUGAUCUGCCCUGCACUUCGGGAUAAGCCUGGGAAACUGGGUCUAAUACCGGAUAUGACCUCCGAUCGCAUGGUUGGUGGUGGAAAGAUUUAUCGGUGCAGGAUGGGCCCGCGGCCUAUCAGCUUGUUGGUGGGGUAAUGGCCUACCAAGGCGACGACGGGUAGCCGACCUGAGAGGGUGACCGGCCACGACUGGGACUGAGACACGGCCCAGACUCCUACGGGAGGCAGCAGUGGGGAAUAUGCACAAUGGGCGAAAGCCUGAUGCAGCGACGCCGCGUGAGGAUGACGGCCUUCGGGUGUAAACCUCUUUCAGCAGGACGAAGCGCAAGUGACGUACUGCAGAGAGCACGGCUAAC
rnacentral:rRNA from 1 species